rnacentral:lncRNA from 1 species
CCAAAUGCAGGCACAGUCUUGUUCACAACAUUGAUUUUCAUUUUGUCCUGACAGGGAGACAAGAGGAGGAUCUGUUUCUCCAGCAGGUAGAGGCCAGAGAAACCAGGAGACGUUACGAACACAGCUGCAAGACACUGGAGGAGCUAACAGACAGCUACAGAGUUCACAGCACUGAUCUAACAAAGACUGUCUCUCAGUAUUCACAAACCCAACAAGAGGUCCGCCACAUCAGAUCACUUGUGUCUGAACUGAAAGAUGAGGUCCGGACUCUUAUUCUUCGAGAACACGAACCAACGCUGUCAUUGUCAGCACACACAUCAGGGGCAUCACCGCUUGCUAUUCCACAUGGUCACAGCAGCAGAGUCAGAGCCAGUGAGCCAGACUCUGACUCAGAGGACUUUAGUCCAACCCCUAGCCUGGAUGAAGUCAGCUCAGAUGAUCUCUCAUGGCUGGAUGACAAAGAGCCCGGUAAGGAUUAUAGUAAAAGGUGUGAAAGCAUGGUCGCUUUGUGCAACAUGAGGUGUUGUAUGCUGAAUAAUCUACGCCAAAUGUUUCUAUUAUUUCACUUCCACAAGCCUUCUGUUCACCUUCAUGUGCAGCAACAGAAACAUAUUUUGACCAUUGGAUAAUGUUACAUCCAACAGAAAACGUUACACAAGGUACCAGCUUGCUUCCCAUCUUGUUUCAGCAAGAUGGGAAGUGUAGUUGUCCCCCCCCCCCACUUUUCACUGAAGUUCUGAUUCCUCACAGAAGAUUUGACUCACUGGAAAGAACUCCUGCAAACAGUUGGUUAACGAAUAGUGUGACAUUUUGCUAAUAAGAUGAAAUCACUCACUUUCUCACUGAAUUUUAAAUGAAAAGGAUGAUUAAAAACUGUCCUGGAGUGCCUUGCUGGGUCCCGUGUAAUGUCAAUGACAACAGGUGUCACUUCUCCUUGCCUGUACAUGGUACAUAUUAGUCUGACCCACAUUCUUUUUACACUUCAGUUUUUUUCAGCAGAUUUAGUUUUGGUUGUUGUUGUUUGUUGUUUUUUGUUUUUUUUACAGACCAAGGAUAGGUGUUUACUACUCUCAUCCUACUAAUCUUUUUCCUAAGCUAAGCAUGCCUUACAGACAUGAUCUUUCAUCUCAAUGUCAGCAAGAAAGCAAAUUAACAAGUUUGCUGAAAUCUUAGUCUAUUACUUAAAUGUAUCAUAACAGAAGGUGAUGUACAUAAAGGCAGGGAAGUGUUAAAAAAUUUGGCUCUAGAGAUAAACAGAACAUUGUUAGCAAGUUUGUGGUCUACUGUUUUCUUCUGCCUGCAGAUUAAACAGUAAAAGUCUCAUUUCCUCUCCACAAGUCUCUGCAAAGCCAGUUGUUUCUGCAAAGUUGUGCAGUGUGUGUGUGUGUGUGUGUGUGUGUGUGUGUGUGUGUGUGU